AACCAAUGGUGUGGACACUGAUUGAUGUAUGUCCUGAACCGCUCCCAUGCUUCUUCAAAAGUCUCAUUGGAGUGCUGUGUGAAGCUAGAGAUUUGGUUUCUUAGCUU
rfam:Eutrema salsugineum unplaced genomic scaffold scaffold_1, whole genome shotgun sequence.